rnacentral:misc_RNA from 1 species
GGACUACACGGGUAUCUAAUCCUGUUUGCUCCCCACGCUUUCGCUCCUCAGUGUCAGUAGUGGCCCAGAGACCUGCCUUCGCCAUUGGUGUUCCUCCUGAUAUCUGCGCAUUCCACCGCUACACCAGGAAUUCCAGUCUCCCCUACCACACUCCAGUUCGCCCGUAUCGGAUGCAGGCCUGAGGUUGAGCCUCAGGGUUUCACAUUCGACGUGACGAGCCACCUACGAGCUCUUUACGCCCAAUAAUUCCGGACAACGCUUGCACCCUAUGUAUUACCGCGGCUGCUGGCAC